UACGAAGGGUGCAAACGUUGCUCGGAAUCAUUGGGCGUAAAGCGCACGUAGGCGGCUUCGCAAGUCGGAUGUGAAAUCCCUCGGCUCAACCGAGGACGUGCACCCGAAACUGCGAAGCUUGAGUACUGAAGAGGAUCGCGGAAUUCCCGGUGUAGAGGUGAAAUUCGUAGAUAUCGGGAGGAACACCAGUGGCGAAGGCGGCGAUCUGGGCAGAUACUGACGCUGAGGUGCGAAAGCGUGGGGAGCAAACAGG
rnacentral:rRNA from 1 species